rnacentral:tRNA from 1 species
CGGUGCGUUAGUUCAGCCGGUUAGAAUACGUGCCUGUCACGCACGGGGUCAGGGGUUCGAGUCCCCUACGCACCGCCC